rnacentral:rRNA from 1 species
CACUCCUACGGGAGGCAGCAGUGGGGAAUUUUGGACAAUGGGCGAAAGCCUGAUCCAGCAAUGCCGCGUGAGUGAAGAAGGCCUUCGGGUUGUAAAGCUCUUUUGUCAGGGAAGAAACGGUGAAAGCUAAUAUCUUUUGCUAAUGACGGUACCUGAAGAAUAAGCACCGGCUAACUACGUGCCAGCAGCCGCGGUAAUACGUAGGGUGCAAGCGUUAAUCGGAAUUACUGGGCGUAAAGCGUGCGCAGGCGGUUUUGUAAGUCUGAUGUGAAAUCCCCGGGCUCAACCUGGGAAUUGCAUUGGAGACUGCAAGGCUAGAAUCUGGCAGAGGGGGGUAGAAUUCCACGUGUAGCAGUGAAAUGCGUAGAUAUGUGGAGGAACACCGAUGGCGAAGGCAGCCCCCUGGGUCAAGAUUGACGCUCAUGCACGAAAGCGUGGGGAGCAAACAGGAUUAGAUACCCGUGUAGUCC